rnacentral:lncRNA from 1 species
UUGACCUUAGAGAAAUGUUAGAGAUACACUCUAGCUAACACACUCCUCUAACAUACUCCAAUAAUAAGUUGCCAAGUCACUCACUUUUUUAUUAAUGUUACUUGAUAACUGGUUGUACCAGUUUUCUUUUCUUUUUCUUUCAUUUUUUUUUUUUUAUAAAAGCCAUUGUUUUCUCCUCUGACCUUUGUCUUCUCCCAAGCUCGGUUUGUCUUUCAGAUCGCUUUUCACCAUUGUCUUCUCCCAAGCUCUUCUGACCUUUGGAGAUUUUUGGGUUAAUAGUGUUUUUCACCCUUGUAAUAUAGGUUAUAUUCGUAAUUUUUUUUCUUCCGGAAAACACCCUUCACCCAUCCAACUCAGCAGAUUCGUUUAUGUGGCACUUACUGAUUUUUUUUUUCAUUUUUUUUAAUUGGCACCAUAAAAUUUUAUUAUUAAAAUAUCUUAAAUUUAAUUUUUAAAAAUCUCAAAAAUAAUAUUAAUUCAGGAAAAAUAUUUUAUAAAAUUUAAAAAAAAAUUGAAUAUUUUUCUAUAUUUGUAUCCAGAUUUUUUAAAAAUAAAUUUUUUUCCAUAAAUUUUAUUUUGUAGAAAUUUUUUUCGAAAAAAGAUCCGAUUUUAUUUUUAAAUUUUGAAAAUUAAAUUCCAGAAUAUUUUAAUUUCGAAAAAAACCUGAUUAUAUUUUCAGAUUUUUUUUCUAAUUUUUUAAAUUUGAAAAAAAGUUAUAGUUAUUUUAUGAUUUUUGAAAUUUUAGAAAAAAAAAAAUUGGUAAUAAUUGUUUUUAGAAAAAAAAAUCUAAAUACAAACCCAUUUCAAUUUUGUGUUCUCAACAUUUUUGUAUUACAUGUUUUUGAUGGAUUUGUGCUUUGAAUUGCUGUAAUCUUUUUGCAGGUUGGACUGUUUAGUCCUAGAUGUUAAAGAAGACGGUCAUGGUGGCUAUGGAGUCUUAUAAUGUGACGUUGAAGUACAGAGAGGUAGAAGAGGAUGAAAAGCUAAAAUCUAAGCAAACAAAUAAAAAAUAAUUAUAGUGUAUAAAGUUGAACCGAUAACAAGUAAAAGGAAUUAGAAAGUGGAUGACAUAUCAAUUUAUUAUUGGAGUGUGUUAGAGGAUGUGUCACCGGCAUUUCUCUUCUUAAUAAUGCCAACAUAUUGUAGUAGCAAGCACAAAUAAACAACUCUUACAAAUAUAUAGGAGUUGGAAUCAUUCUCACUUUAAGUGCAACAAAAAUUAAAAUCAUACACAUCCAAACAUAAUCAUUGUCAUUGAUCCUCAAUGGUAGUCCAUCCUAGAGUUUGUCAAGACGGGCCCGUUUGUUUUAGAUUCUACAAAAAUGAAUUUUUCUUUGUAUCUUUAAAAACAGAUUUUUUUUGAAGUUUACUUAAAAAUAGUAAAAGUUAUUUCAAACUCAAUCUAUGUAAUCAUUCUGACUUUAAAAAUAAACUGAUGUUAA